ACAGAUGAGGAGUCCUCAUGGUUUCUCAGUGUAGAAAUUGUUUUAUUGUUUGCCUUGCUCCUUAAUUUAUUUCUCUCUUAUUCUUUCUUUUUCUUAUGCUCUUAAGAUCACAAGGGAGUUUUGUCCUUUUGGAAAAAAAUAACUUGGUUUAUGCUACAGUGUGGUGCAGUGAUUAUAAUAUUGGAUUGGAACUGGGCAGAUCCAGGCUCAAGUCUCAAUUGUGCCAUGAAAUGCAUUAUAGGGUCUUGUGCCAGUCAAUCUCAGAUAUCCUGAUUUACCUUACAGGGUUGUUGUAGGAUAAUGGAAGGAGGAAGAGGAGAGCCAUAUAUACCACCUUGAAUUCAUUUGAAGAAAUUAUCCUCAUCUUCAUUAUCAGAGCAGCAGCAGAGGAGAAACAACAACAGUGGCAACACAGGACAGGAAGAACACUUCUAGUUUCCUGGGGAGACCUUAUUAAUGAAAGACCUCCCCCAAAAGCCCUGGUCAUCAGCUGUGUUGCUCGGAUCUUCCAACAAAGGGCUGUGGCUUACCUUAGAGAGUUACUUCUCAUGAAACAGUACCAUGCAGUGCACCAUUCAGAAGCCACAUGUAGCACACAUAAAAAAUAUGCAUAUAUAUGGAAGCAAGAAAGAUAAUGCAAAGCAUCUCACUCUGGUUGCAUCAUAGGCAUCAUGCAGAAGAUAGGGUUUCAUGGACUUAGAGGUGUAUUUCUGCACUUGAGACACUCUUUUGCAUCUGACUUCACCUGAUGAAACCUGUGGCUUUCAUUAAAGCCCAAGGAGAUUCUGGAAGUAUGAAAUCUGCUUGCCCAUCCCACAUGUAUGCUGAUGAAUGAAA